GCAGAGCCAUGGCCCUCUUCUUUGUUCUCUGCUGGAUCCAAGGCUGGUCAUGAACUCCUGACCUCAAUGGAUCCUCCUGCCUCAGCUUCCUGAGUAGCUGGGACCACAGGUGCACACCACCACGCCCAGAUGAAAUUGUGCUCCAAGUGUUUUCCAAGGUUCCGUAUGACCCAUCAUUUGAUGAAACAAGAACAGCAGUCAGAUCCAUUACAAAGAGAGACACACAAAAAAACUAUGUGAAAAUGAGCUUAGCCCCUGGUGUUGUGUUGGAACUUCAGAUGCUUGCAGACACUUCAUGAAUGCUCUGUGACACUCAGAAUAGGCUAUUCCCAACAGAAGAGCUUGAACAAUGCUGCAUUUGCAUCAGGUUCAAAUGAGCGAGAGGAACAUUUGGCUAAAAUAUUUGAUGAAAUUCUACUGCAGGUGUUUCCAAAGUUUCCGUAUGACCCAUCAUUUAACGAAGCAACAGCAGUCAGAUCCAUUACAAAGACAGACAUGAGAAAAGGAACCAGCAUUGCUUGGAAUUCUCCUAAACCAGAAUAUUUCCUUGGCAGUGUGGACAAAAUUCCUGAUAAAGAUCACCUUUCAGAGGAGAAGAAUUUUAAAGAAUCCUGUCUGUUCGACAGGGAUUUAAGAGAGCAGUUAACUACUAUAGAUAAAGAAACA
rnacentral:misc_RNA from 1 species